UGGCACCAGGUAGCUGUUCUUUUCUCUUUCAGUCCUGGACCAGUCAGACCUCCUGUGGCCCAUAGUGGAGCUCACACUGAAGGGCUCGUCCCAACGACGAUACACGCAGCGCACACGCGUGUCAGGAGCGGGAGAUCACAAGAACGACAUGGCUAGCAACUGCAACACCAUCAUUUCUCUGAGGCCGAGCGGAGGUGGCCUGAUGCUCGCUUCUCUUUAAGUUGUGCGAACUUUACCAUCUGCUGGUUUCAUCAUGGAAAAAGAAGCACCAACACAUUUCUCUCGCUGCAAAAUAGUUUGUUUCAUAGAAGAAAAGCACUCGUACCCGACCGGCCUUAGUCGCCAUAAAGCAGCAAACAAAAGACAGAGGAGGAAUUACACUUGUUCUUUCUCCAGGAGCUGCUAUGAGAAGAAGGACUGGCUCACUGGUUGCUCUCAGACCAGGGCCAGGUUUGGUUUUCCCUCCUCUUUCAGACACUGGACACGGAACAAGCCUGAAAUCAGACUUCAAGCAUUUCUCUGAAAGAGAAAAAAAAAUAUAUGGACAAUGCUCGCAUGUUUAAAGGAGAGAUGAGCAAAGUUCAAAUGCUUGGUGUGUAUUUUCAUUCUCAUUGACCGUCAUUUCUGGACUAUAAGCCGCUACUUUUUUCACUUGCUGAGGAGUGUGAAAACAUCCACAAUCACCAACGGGUUUCGAAAAGAGGACGGCGCAGCGGCUGACGAAGCUGUUCAGAGGCUGUUCGAUUCCGACACUGACGAAGAGGAAGAGGAGUUAAUUGGUUUUGAGAGCGACAACAAAGGAGAGAGAGUGGCUGACGAGGCCAUUCUGGGCCUGUUCGUUUCCUUCGGUAGUUUUAGUACGCAGGAGGAAGACGAUGACACGAGGAUUAAUGACUGACUUUUCUGGUAUAGUAGGCUGGUUAUUUUGAUACAGUAAACGGCCGCGUUACUGCACCUUUACUGCUGUGUUACGGACAAGCACUUUUAAAAACAAAUUCAAUUUAGCCAUUUAACGUUAUUGCCUCGUCAAGUGCUGUAAGCUUUGUUUUUGUUAUACUGCACUACUACGGUACUAUGACUAUGGCAGGACGUGCGCUGGGAGCGCACCGUUGUAUUAUUUGUGCACUGCACGAAUGCUGUUUGUCAAAGAUGUGAAAGUUUGAUUGAAAGAUUUAUUGUGGUUCUCAAAUGUUAAUAAAUGGGACGCUUUGCGUUCCCAAACAGUCA